rnacentral:rRNA from 1 species
UACGUAGGGUGCGAGCGUUGUCCGGAAUUAUUGGGCGUAAAGAGCUCGUAGGCGGUCUGUCACGUCGGCUGUGAAAUCCCGAGGCUCAACCUCGGGUCUGCAGUCGAUACGGGCAAACUAGAGUAUUGCAGGGGAGAGUGGAAUUCCUGGUGUAGCGGUGAAAUGCGCAGAUAUCAGGAGGAGCACCGGUGGCGAAGGCGGGUCUCUGGGCCGACACUGACGCUGAGGAGCGAAAGCGUGGGGAGCGAACAGG